AGGUUCUACGGGGGGCAGCAGUGAGGAAUAUUGGUCAAUGGGCUUACGCCUGAACCAGCCAAGUCGCGUGAGGGAAGACUGCCCUAUGGGUUGUAAACCUCUUUUGUCAGGGGGCAACGCCGGCUACGUGUAGCCGGACUGAGAGUACCUGAAGAAAAAGCAUCGGCUAACUCCGUGCCAGCAGCCGCGGUAAUACGUAGGGGGCAAGCGUUAUCCGGAAUUACUGGGAGUAAAGGGAGCGUAGACGGUUAAGUAAGUCUGGAGUGAAAGGCCGGGGCUCAACCCCGGGACUGCUCUGGAGACUA
rnacentral:rRNA from 1 species